CUCCGAUGAUGCUUUCCUCCUGAUAGUCAACACUGCACGCGUUAAAACACGCAACGUCCGGUGAUGGACUUCAAAAUAAAAGCCGCCCAGAAAUCUGAGGUAAAGUUCAUCUGAUGUUUCAGCACCAGAAACGUGUGACAGCAUUUUAGGGAAUAAAGGGAGUAAAUUUGCACCAAAACCCUCAAACUUUCCAGGAGGAAAAGAUGGUAGAUUUCUGAGUGACAAAAUCUCAGAAAUUUUCUAGAAAAAAAAGUUUCCAGGUUUCAAAAGUCAAACAUUUUCAGCGUUUAGAUAUUUUCUCAGGUCCAAAAGUUAAACAUUUGCAAGAAAAAAAACCCUCCAAUUUUGAGAUUAGUCAAAAUUUGACAUUUGGAAAGUAAUGAGUUUCAAAAGUUGAAAUAUUUUGACUCUUGAAAUCCAGAAAUGUCGAUGUUUUUUCUGAGAAUUGAGUUUUUUGUGGAAAUAUACUCCUUUUAUCAUCCUCGUCUAUAACGCCCUGAUACAUCGUCAGUUCUGUAGUCUAGUUAAAGUUAUAAAGAUAAAGAUCUUUGAAAUUUGUUCCACUUAUGGCACAAAAGCAAAAAAUAUAUAAUUUCAGACAUAAAACACAAACUGUAUCUGAUUCAGAUUUAUCUUCAACCCAAUUACAAAAUGUUCAAUGUAAACAAGUUUGAUCAAAUAAAAAAACUGUUCUAGACAGUUAACAGAUUCUAAAGGUUUUCUGUUUGUUCACAAUUAGUUUAAUAAAAGGGAAAUAAAAACGUAAAAUCUCAUGAAGCAGUUUAACACGAUUCAAGGCUUUUAUUGUGAAAGCAAAGCCACCAGUUUCCUGUGUGUUAAAUAAUAAAACCUUCAGACAUCAAAGAUCCCGUUAAACAUGUCAGACCUUAAAUUUCCGGUCUGACUUCAAAAUAAAAGCAGGACAUUAAAGGAUCCCUUCAAAAUAAAUAAACCUGUUUUCUGAAAGUUAAA